ensembl:rRNA 5S_rRNA 5S ribosomal RNA
GCCAGCAGCCAUAUCACCCUGCAACUCACAACUGGCAGCCCACUGAAGCUAAGCAGGUGUGAGCCUGGUCAGUACCUUGAUGGGAGACCCCCUGGGAAAAACUAAGGUUGCUGCUGGAA